AUCCUUUUGCUAGGGUUAGCUGUUCUGACAGUGAGGAUCAUAUCCGAGUCGAACAAAUUGCUAGUUGAAAAAAACAUCCUACCCCUUCUUCUCGUCUUUAAGGCGUUGAAGAGAAUUUCUGGAACACUUCCGCAUGC
rnacentral:snRNA from 1 species